rnacentral:rRNA from 1 species
AGAUUGGACGCUGGCGGCAUGCCUAACACAUGCAAGUCGAACGGGAGUAGCAAUACUCUAGUGGCGGACGGGUGAGGAAUACGUAGGAAUUUGCCCUUAAGUGGGGGAUAACCCGGGGAAACCCGGAUUAAUACCGCAUGACCUCGAAAGAGCAAAGUGGGGGAUCGCAAGACCUCACGCUUUUGGAGAAGCCUACGUCGGAUUAGCUAGUUGGUGAGGUAAUGGCUCACCAAGGCGACGAUCCGUAACUGGUCUGAGAGGAUGAUCAGUCACACCGGAACUGAGACACGGUCCGGACUCCUACGGGAGGCAGCGAGGUGGGGAAUACGUUGGACAAGUGGGCGCAAGGCCCUUAGGACUCCGAGGCCAAUCGGCCGCGUGUGUGGAAGAACGGCCGUUCGGUUAGUAAGUCUACGUUUAAGUUA